AGAGUUUGAUCCUGGCUCAGGACGAACGCUGGCGGCGUGCUUAACACAUGCAAGUCGAACGCUGAAGCUUGGUGCUUGCACUGGGUGGAUGAGUGGCGAACGGGUGAGUAAUACGUGAGUAACCUGCCCUUGACUCUGGGAUAAGCCUGGGAAACUGGGUCUAAUACUGGAUACGACAUGUCACCGCAUGGUGGUGUGUGGAAAGGGUUUUACUGGUUUUGGAUGGGCUCACGGCCUAUCAGCUUGUUGGUGGGGUAAUGGCUCACCAAGGCGACGACGGGUAGCCGGCCUGAGAGGGUGACCGGCCACACUGGGACUGAGACACGGCCCAGACUCCUACGGGAGGCAGCAGUGGGGAAUAUUGCACAAUGGGCGGAAGCCUGAUGCAGCGACGCCGCGUGAGGGAUGACGGCCUUCGGGUUGUAAACCUCUUUCACCAGGGACGAAGCUAACGUGACGGUACCUGGAGAAGAAGCACCGGCUAACUACGUGCCAGCAGCCGCGGUAAUACGUAGGGCGCAAGCGUUGUCCGGAAUUAUUGGGCGUAAAGAGCUUGUAGGCGGUCUGUCGCGUCUGCUGUGAAAGACCGGGGCUUAACUCCGGUUCUGCAGUGGGUACGGGCAGACUAGAGUGUGGUAGGGGAGACUGGAAUUCCUGGUGUAGCGGUGAAAUGCGCAGAUAUCAGGAGGAACACCGAUGGCGAAGGCAGGUCUCUGGGCCAUUACUGACGCUGAGAAGCGAAAGCAUGGGGAGCGAACAGGAUUAGAUACCCUGGUAGUCCACGCCGUAAACGAUG
rnacentral:rRNA from 1 species